rnacentral:rRNA from 1 species
AACGAACGCUGGCGGCAUGCCUAACACAUGCGAGUCGAACGGGACCUUCGGGUCUAGUGGCGCACGGGUGCGUAACGCGUGGGAACCUGCCCUUAGGUUCGGAAUAACUCCCCGAAAGGGGUGCUAAUACCGGAUAAUGUCUUCGGACCAAAGAUUUAUCGCCUUUGGAUGGGCCCGCGUUGGAUUAGCUAGUUGGUAGGGUAAAAGCCUACCAAGGCGACGAUCCAUAGCUGGUCUGAGAGGAUGAUCAGCCACACUGGGACUGAGACACGGCCCAGACUCCUACGGGAGGCAGCAGUGGGGAAUAUUGGACAAUGGGCGAAAGCCUGAUCCAGCAAUGCCGCGUGAGUGAUGAAGGCCUUAGGGUUGUAAAGCUCUUUUACCCGGGAUGAUAAUGACAGUACCGGGAGAAUAAGCUCCGGCUAACUCCGUG